rnacentral:rRNA from 1 species
UACAGAGGUGCCGAGCGUUAGGCGGAAUCACUGGGCUUAAAGCGUGUGUAGGCGGACGCCUAAGUACCUUGUGAAAUCCCACGGCUCACCCGUGGAACGGCUGGGUAUACUGGGCGUCUUGAGCCUUCUAGGGGCCAGCGGAACAAAUGGUGGAGCGGUGAAAUGCGCAGAUAUCAGGAGGAACACCGGUGGCGAAGGCGGGUCUCUGGGCGAUACUGACGCUGAGGAGCGAAAGCGUGGGAGCGAACAGG